AAUAGAUACCCCGGUAGUCCACGCCGUAAACGAUGAGUGCUAAGUGUUAGGGGGUUUCCGCCCCUUAGUGCUGCAGCUAACGCAUUAAGCACUCCGCCUGGGGAGUACGGUCGCAAGACUGAAACUCAAAGGAAUUGACGGGGGCCCGCACAAGCGGUGGAGCAUGUGGUUUAAUUCGAAGCAACGCGAAGAACCUUACCAGGUCUUGACAUCCCAUUGGCCACUAUGGAGACAUAGUUUUCCCUUCGGGGACAACGGUGACAGGUGGUGCAUGGUUGUCGUCAGCUCGUGUCGUGAGAUGUUGGGUUAAGUCCCGCAACGAGCGCAACCCUUGUUCUUAGUUGCCAUCAUUUAGUUGGGCACUCUAAGGAGACUGCCGGUGACAAACCGGAGGAAGGUGGGGAUGACGUCAAAUCAUCAUGCCCCUUAUGACCUGGGCUACACACGUGCUACAAUGGACGGUACAAACGGUUGCCAACCCGCGAGGGGGAGCUAAUCCGAUAAAACCGUUCUCAGUUCGGAUUGUAGGCUGCAACUCGCUACAUGAAGCCG
rnacentral:rRNA from 1 species